rnacentral:rRNA from 1 species
UGGGGAAUAUUGGGCAAUGGAGGGAACUCUGACCCAGCGACGCCGCGUGCGGGAUGAAGGCCUUCGGGUUGUAAACCGCUUUCAGCAAGGAAGAAGCGAAAGUGACGGUACUUGCAGAAGAAGCACCGGCUAACUAUGUGCCAGCAGCCGCGGUAAUACAUAGGGUGCAAGCGUUGUCCGGAAUUAUUGGGCGUAAAGAGCUCGUAGGUGGUUCGUCACGUCGGAUGUGAAAAUCUGGGGCUUAACCCC